AUCCUUACCACAUAGAACCUCGGCAAAUACCGAAACAAUCUUAGGUAGAUACUGAUUGUUGGGGCCCAGAAGCUCACUGUCUGACCUCUCCACCAUUGAACAAAGCUGUUCAUGAACAACUUUUGCUUCAAUCAAAUCACCCUUUAUUGGCAAACAGUUUAACCAUGCAGGAACAACCUGCGCUGAAUCAAUACUUUCACGAUGAAACUGGCAAAUUUUCCCCAAAGCAGAAACAGCGUUAUCAUAUGCCAUGACAUUUUCAGGUUGCUUAGCAGUAGGAUGUCGUAUCACAACAUUUAGUCUCGAAAGAGCCUCUCCAACAAGAGGUUUAAAUACAGAUCCACCAAACUCUGCACAAACUCCAAGUCCAUAUACAGCUGCCUGUCGAACAUCAGGAUUUAUCAUCAUUGCAAGCCUCUAAUACGAAUGGAAGAAAUGUAUCAUAGUAUUUAAGUGCUGUCUCACGACAUUGCUCUGCCACAUCAUCAAAAAUGCAAAUUGCAAUCCUCCUCUCCUCAGCUGUCUUAUCCUUGCCCCACAUAGGAGUUAGAUAGGUUGAUAGCUCAUCAAAGAAGGGCAAGAAAGAGGCUUUAAAUGUUUUUAUCAAAGUUCCCAAGAUUUCACCCACUUGGUCAAAAACAUCCUCCUCUUGCUCAUUUUCCUCUUUAAUCAACUCUCCCUCCUCAACAUCAAAGUCUUCGGCUUUGGUUCUCUCUGCCCUCUCUCUUUUCCUACUAGAACUAGCUGUGAUCACCUGUUUUAUCUCAUCUAUGAUAGAUCGCACCUGACCUUCAUCAACAAGUUGUCCAGAUAUCUGUAAGCAUUCAUUUAGUGCAUCCAACAUAUUUGCACAAAUCUCGGUAUCAGGCUCCUUAUGUAAUGCUUCUACCAAAGCUGGAAUAAUAUAGUCAGACAGCUGUUUUACAUAGGACUCAUUGCGACCUUGAGAGAACCCCUUCUCUACAGCUAAUUUUGCAGAACGCAGUAGCUCUGGCAUGGCUGAAACAGCUGCUUUCCUGACCUCUUCAUGGAAAUAAAAUUUCAGAAGAGGAACUAGGGUUGGGGCAACCUGAUCAAUCCAUGGAAAGAAUCCUUCCUUAAGCUCAUCUGCAUAGCAACAUAACAUGUUACAUGCAGU
rnacentral:misc_RNA from 1 species